rnacentral:tRNA from 1 species
GGAGAGGUGUCAGAGCGGUUCAAUGUGCCUGAUUCGAAAUCAGGUGUACUGUCAAAGGUACCGGGGGUUCGAAUCCCUCCCUCUCCG